CUUUUUUGAGUAUCGUACAACUUGACAAGUACUCACAUAUCCCAACGGUCUCCCAUAGAUCGUUACAAACAUAAGUUUAAAAAAUUACAUUUUUACGGUAGAAAAUUGCAGUCUUCAUCAGGUGCAGAAUGUUAUCCAAGAAUGGUUGCGGCACGCAGGAGAUCGCCUCCAUUAUUUAUUGAAAAAAGUGACAUAAAUAUAAUAAGUAGUAUUACAAAUAUGCAUAUGUAUAUUUGGAUUUUAUAUUUUAACAAUAUAUCUGAAUAUAAUUUAUAUAAGAAGUAUUAUGUAAAAGUAUUAUGUUUAAAAGUGUUAUGUAAAAAAAUAUUAAUAAUAAAAUAUUAAUA